ACAUGCCUACAUCGAAGCAUUAAUGCACCAAAUCCCAUUACAACUCUGUAGUUAAGUGUGCUCAUGAUAAAUUAGUAAUAGGAUGGGUGAUAGCCUAGGAAUUCCUAGUGUAUUAA
rnacentral:rRNA from 1 species